AGAAGGUGACAGAUGGUAGGGGAAAAGAAGGGUAUGGCUUGGUUUCACCUCCAAAACCUAAGUAAGGCUUCACCACCCACCAGUCCAAGGUUUCACCACCUUGGUUGCAAUUGAUUCACCACCAGACCAUGCUCCAUUGAAGAGAUGCAACAGGUUGACUGUCCAAAAAGGUGGGAGGGGUCUCCCUUCUCUUCUAUUUAUUAAUUUGAGUAGAUGUAGUACAAAAAAUAUAAAAUCUUUGUUACAAAGUAGCCUACAAUACAAAAUAGAA